CAAGACCAAAGAGGGGGACCUUCGGGCCUCUUGCCAUCAGAUGUGCCCAGAUGGGAUUAGCUAGUAGUGGGGUAACGGCUCACCUAGGCGAAGAUCCCUAGCUGGUCUGAGAGGAUGACCAGCCACACUGGAACUGAGACACGGACCAGACUCCUACGGGAGGCAGCAGUGAGGAAUAUUGGACAAUGGGUGAGAGCCUGAUCCAGCCAUCCCGCGUGAAGGACGACUGGCCUAUGGGUUGUAAACUUCUUUUGUAUAGGGAUAAACCUACCCUCGUGAGGGUAGCUGAAGGUACUAUACGAAUAAGCACCGGGUUAACUCCGUGCCAGCCAGCCGCGGUAAUACGGAAGGGUGCAAGCGUUAUCCCGGAUUUAUUGGGGUUUAAAGGGGUCCGUAAGCGGAUCUGUAAAGUCCAGGGGUGGAAAAUUCCUCACAAGGUUUUAAUUGGUGAAAACUGGGCCCAUUGGAUUACUUGGCGGGGUCUCGGAGUUGGUCGGUGAAAGUUANCNUGGGAAAUUAAGUUAAGUGGUACCGCGGUGAAAAUGGUUUAGGAUUUUUACUUUAGAAACACCAUUGGGCGAAAGGGCGGUUAUUAAGGCA
rnacentral:rRNA from 1 species